rnacentral:lncRNA from 1 species
CAGCACUGACAAUGCCAAGUCCUUAACCUCUCGAUCACCAGGGAACUACAUUCUGAAUGGACUGUCUCAUUCCCUAUGAAUCAAAUAUUAUUUUAAAUAAACAAAAGCUUCAUCAUACUUUACUCAUGGCCUCUGGGGUGUUGAUCCUCUUAGUCCUACUUGUUUUUGCUGGAAACCAAAGGACAUCAGUAAAAAUGCCCUUUGAAAAUCUUAUCAACUCAGCAUGAAAAGGCAACACCUGAGGAUUUUCUGUCUUAGGUAAUUUGUAAGAACUGAAAGACCUACCUGUACUUAAAGCAGGGGGAACCGAUGAUUUUUAAAAAAGACUUGAGUUUUAAUCACUUGGAAAUGGUAUGAAUUAACAUGAUUUCCCAAAAUCAGUGGCCCAAUACUUGGAUUUAAUCACGGAAGAAAUCCUAGACAGAAUGUCUAUUUUAUUAUUUAUUUAUUUAUUUAUUAUGGCUGCACCUGCAUCAUGUGGAAGUUCCUGGGCCAGGGACUGAACCCACGCCACAGCAGCGACCUGGGCUGCUGCAGUGACAGUGCUGGAUCCUUAACCCACCCUGCCAUAAGGGAAUUUCAGUCCUGGAGCUUUUAAUCAAGAGGAGUUAAUACCUACAGAAGUGACUGAAGUGUUCUACAAAUGUAAAUUUUUUUUUAGCAUAUGCCACUAAUGGUCCCAGCCCCCUAAGAAAAAUAGUUUAGUACAGAUUCACAAACAAACUACAAAUAUAUUGUAACCCUUUCAAUGGUCUGAUUUAGAAUAUCCAUAUGCAUUUACUUUUAAAAGUGAAAAAGGAGUGUAGAUGUGGAAUAAAAAAUUCAAACAGUACAGAAAGAUAUAUAGAAGUGAAAAAUCUGUGGUUCCUUGUCUUCUCUGAAAUUCAAACAUAGUUUUUUCCCAAGUUUCCAUUGUGACUCAGUAGUUAAGGACCUGACGUCUUGGUGAGGAUGCGGGUUCAAUCCCUGGCCUCACUCAGUGUGUUAAGAAUCCAGUGUUUUCACAAGCUGCGGCAUAGGUCACAGAUGUGGCUCAGAUCUGGUGUUGCUGUGCCUUUGGUGUAGGCCUCAGCUGCAGCUUUGAUUUGACCCCUGACCCAAGAACUUCCGUAUACCACAGGUUUGUCCUUGAAAAGAUAACAAGAAAUAAAAGUUCUCUUUCCUUUUCCCUUUCCGUCCCUCCUUUAAUAAAAAUGCACAGGGAGUUCCCAUUGUGGCACAGCAAUAACGAACCUGACUAGUAUCCAUGAGGAUGUGGGUUCAAUCCCUGGCCUCACCUAGUGGGUUAAGGAUCCAGUGUUGCCAUGAGCUGUGGUGUAGGUUGCGGAAAUGGCUUGAAUCUUGUGUUGCUGUGGCUGUAGCACAGGCCAGCAGCUGCAGUUCUGAUUUGACCUCUAGCCUGGGAACUUCCCUAUGUUGUGGGUAUGGCCCUAAAAAAAACACACAGAAAAAAUAUAUAUAGAAAACAAAGUACGUAUAUAUGUGUAUGUGUGUGUGUAUGUGCAUGUAUGUUUACACAUAUAUGUUAACGUGUGUGUGUGUGUGUGUGUGUGUGUAUACAUAUAUACCCCUGACCCAGGGAUCGAACCAAUUGUGCAGUGGUUACCCUAGCCACAGCAGUGACAAUGCCACAUCCUUAAACACUAGGCCACCAGGGAACUCCAGCUCUGUGUAUUUUUUGGUGGUCUAUACGUAUCAGUUACUGCUCCAUAUGAUUUACAACUCUAUUUUGGAGCUGUUUUUCCAUCAGUACUGAGAUUGGCUUCAUUCUUUUCAGUGACUUGGAGUUCGCCCUCUUGUCAGUGUUCCAUACAUAAUUCAUUGGACCGGUCCCCUAGCAGAUGAGCAUUAAAAUUCUUCUAGCCUUUUGUUUUUACCAAUAAUGUUGCAAUGAGUAGUAUAUUCUUUGUAUCUUGAUCUUCAUGCAGAUAUAAUUGUAUUUAUGGGAUAGAAUCCCAAUAGUGGUCUUUUCUGUUUCAAAAGGUAUUAAGUAUUGCCAAAUUGCCCUUUUACAAAGAUACACCACUUUCUACUUUUAUCGAUGAUUUAUGGCUAUGCCUAAAAUUUCAUUCUCACAUUUCCUUUCCAUCUUGUCCACCUCAUUUCUCUCUCCAACUCCCCAGCCUACCCUCAGACCCAAUCUGGAAGCUGGAAAACCUUCAGUUGAAGUGUCCAUCUCAUGGAAGUGUGUAAAACACAAAUCACAGGAGCCUUCUUGAAAGACACAAGAAACCGGUCCCCCUUGUGAGCACUGCCCGAAUUUCCUCCCAGGCCAGGGUAGGCCACACCAGUGAACACUGGCCCCUCCCCUUAAUUGCUGGCUCAGCCUCAGCUGGGUGACAUCCCUUUCGCCACUCUUUCCUGUCUUCAUUCCUUUUGGAGGCUUUUAAGGCUAGUACUCAUCUCUAGCGCCUGAAAAGUCGGAAUCUGUUCACUUGUCUUGGGUGCCUGCCAGUUCUUAAAGAUAGGCAUGGUUGGACCACUGCAUUCUUUGCCAUUUCAGAAGAAGCCGUGUCUGUUUGCAUGUACAGUGUCAAGAAACGAUUUCCAGAUGACUGCUUUGGCCUGGCAUUUCCAUUAACGCUUUCAGUGGGGAGAUGGUUUCUCUAGUUAAGCUGGCGGAGGACCAAGGUCUCCAUCCCCAGCCCCUCUCUCUUUCCCAGCCUUCCACCCCAGUUGGGGUUAUCCUGUAACUUGAUUCUAUGGCCUGUGAAUUUACCUGGGACAUUUAGAAAAAAGAUCCCUUCACCACGACAUUAUUGGCAAAUCCUUUUUUCAGUGUUCUCCCAUUUUUGAGCAGAAAACAACAUUCUGGGCUUUCCCUCGAUCUCCUGUCGAUAUUUUAUUACCAAACAUACAGUAAAGUUGAAAGAAUUUUAUAGUCAACACCCAUAUGUCUGUUAAUAGAUUCUGCCGUAAACAUUUUACUCUACUUGUUUUAUUGCAUGGCUCACUCUCCAGUUGUCAUUUUGGGCUUGUUUAGUGAUACUUCUCUGGCAUUUUAAAGGCAUUUAAAGGUGGAUGGAAUAGGCUACAAUGUAUUAGUCAUUUAAUACGUGCCAUAAAGUAAGUGCUAAAUUAAUUUCAUGGAUUAAAAAAACAAUUUAAUAGAUUUUCUGGAUUUUAGGGAGAAGCAACUGCUUUGCCUGGUACUGGGGCCAGAUGUUUGUGUACAUUGCCUCAUUUGACCCUCAAAACAACUUUUAACAGAAUGUCCUGUUUGCAGAUGAGCAAGGUGAGGUCAGGAGGCAGGAAUGGGAUUUAAUCCCAAGUCUGUUGAACUUUAGUGGUCAUAAUCUCUGGGUUUUGCCCUUUUUCUUUUAACCACCAGAUUGAGAAAUUGCAGGAUUAUGUAAAGUGACAGAGAUUUUUAUGGUUGGGGAAAAAGCCUUCAUCUGAAUUCUGGGAAACAGGUAUAGGUACCUGAGGUUUUACCACUCUGCUGUGACCUUGAGAUGCUGAAGGUCAGUCUUGCAGAAGAAAGAACUCCUUGCUAUUUUUUGUAUCUUUUUAAAAUUCCUUUCCUUCCCAUUAGCAUUUCCAAUUCUGGAUCCUCCUGCUGUCUAGCGUUCUGGCUGACCUCCCUGGGUAGGGAUUACCUUGGGGUAUUUUGGAAUGCUGUCCUUUGUCAAUUGUUAACAUCCCACCUGCUAGACAGAACUUCAGUUGGCUGUCCAAAAUCUUCUGUGGAGAGAAGGGUAGGAAAUAGAAAGAAAUAUGUAAACUCACACCCCUGGAUGUUUUGAGGAGAAGCUUUGCCCUAGUUGGUCACUUGGGGGUGAAUGUUGUGGCCUUGAUAGUGUCUGUGCCUGGGGGAGGAAGGCUGCAGUCAGCUGGUAUGUGCAUACUUCAGGCAGUAAAGGGGAGACUGACUUUUCUGCCUCCGUUCAGAUUCAGUCAUUUCCCCCUUUCUCCUUAAUUCUAGGUGCCAAUAUGCCUUUAACAUUUGUUAAUCACCUUUUCUAUUGAGAGGCCAUAGUUUAUAAUGCCAUCGUUUUUCCUUCUUGGUGUUUGCUUUCAUAGUUACCUUAUUUUUAAAGGCAGUUGAUUCUGUACGUCUCUUUAUAGAAGUGAUAUAAAGGUUUCAUUUAAAAUAUAUUUAGGGGGAGUUCCCAUGGUGGCGCAGUGGUUAACGAAUCCGACUAGGAACCAUGAGGUUGCGGGUUCGGUCCCUGCCCUUGCUCAGUGGGUUAACGAUCCGGCGUUGCUGUGGCUCUGGCGUAGGCUGGUGACUACGGCUCCGAUUCGACCCCUAGCCUGGGAACCUCCAUAUGCUGAGGGAGCGGCCCAAGAAAUAGCAAAAAAAGACAAAUAAAUAAAUAAAUAAAUAAAAUAAAAUAAAAUACAUUUAGGGUUUCCCCUUUUGGCUCAGUGGGUUAAAUAAGGACCCAAUGUCUAUGUGAGGAUGUGUGUUCCAUCCCUGGCCUCGCUCAGUGGGUUAGGGAUCUGGGCAUUGCCUCAAGCUACGGUGUAGAUCACAGAUGCUGCUCAGAUAUGGUGUUUCCGUGGCUGUGGUAUAGGCCUCAGCUGUAGCUCCAGUUUGACCCCUCGCCAGGAACUUCUAUAAGCCAUGGGUACAGC